rnacentral:rRNA from 1 species
UGGGGAAUAUUGGACAAUGGGCGAAAGCCUGAUCCAGCCAUGCCGCGUGUGUGAAGAAGGUCUUCGGAUUGUAAAGCACUUUAAGUUGGGAGGAAGGGCAGUAAGCGAAUACCUUGCUGUUUUGACGUUACCGACAGAAUAAGCACCGGCUAACUCUGUGCCAGCAGCCGCGGUAAUACAGAGGGUGCAAGCGUUAAUCGGAAUUACUGGGCGUAAAGCGCGCGUAGGUGGUUCGUUAAGUUGAAUGUGAAAGCCCCGGGCUCAACCUGGGAACUGCAUCCAAAACUGGCGAGCUAGAGUGUGGGAGAGGAUGGUAGAAUUCCAGGUGUAGCGGUGAAAUGCGUAGAGAUCUGGAGGAAUACCGAUGGCGAAGGCAGCCAUCUGGCCUAACACUGACGCUGAGGUACGAAAGCAUGGGGAGCAAACAGG